CCCUUAGAUGUCCUGGGCCGCACGCGCGUUACACUGAUGCAUUCAACGAGCUUAUAACCUUGGCCGAGAGGCCUGGGCAAUCUUGUUAACGUGCAUCGUGAUAGGGAUAGAUUAUUGAAAUUAUUAAUCUUGAACGAGGAAUUCCUAGUAAACGCAAGUCAUCAGCUUGCAUUGAUUACGUCCCUGCCCUUUGUACACACCGCCCGUCGCACCUACCGAUUGAAUGGUCCGGUGAAAUCUCCGGACUGGCGUGAGUCGGAGCAAUCUGACAAACACCGGAAAGUUGAUUAAACCUUACCAUUUAGAGGAAGGUGAAGUCGUAACA
rnacentral:rRNA from 1 species